CAAGUCGACGAUGAUGAGAUGAUCUUGUUCAUCCUGAACGGGCUUGACUACGACUACAACUUGUUGGUGUCAUCUGUGAUGGGCCGUGCCGACAUGAAGCUGAGCGAUCUCUAUGCUCAAGUCAUUGCCUUCGACA